rfam:Capsicum annuum cultivar Zunla-1 chromosome 6, whole genome shotgun sequence
GAUGGUAUAAGAGAGCUUCCUUCAGUCCACUCAUGGGUGGAUUCAGGAUUUGAAUUAUCUGCCGACUCAUUCAUUCAAACACAGUAGGAGAUGUUCGUUUAUGUACUACUGUGAAUGUGUGAAUGAUGCGGGAGAUAAAUUCUGUCCUUUUUAUCUGUGCUUGGACUGAAGGGAGCUCCCUUUAACCUUCUU